AGAGUUUGAUCCUGGCUCAGAAUGAACGCUGGCGGCGUGCCUAACACAUGCAAGUCGAAUGUGCCGCAAGGUGCAUGGCAGACGGGUGAGUAACGCGUAGGGAAUCUACCUUUUAGUGGGGAAUAACGCUCCGAAAGGAGUGGUAAUACCGCAUGAGACCGUAGUCUGGGAUGACAACGGUGAAACCUGGGGACCGCAAGGCCUGGGGCUAAAAGAGGAUCCUGCGUCUGAUUAGCUAGUUGGCGGGGUAAUGGCCCACCAAGGCGACGAUCAGUAGCCGGCCUGAGAGGRUGAUCRGCCACACUGGAACUGAGACACGGUCCAGACUCCUACGGGAGGCAGCAGUGGGGAAUUUUGCGCAAUGGRCGAAAGCCUGACGCAGCAACGCCGCGUGAGUGAUGAAGGCUUUCGGGUCGUAAAGCUCUGUCGAGGGGAAAGAAGUGUAYUUUGGCUAAUAUCCWUWRUACUUGACGGUACCCCUAAAGGAAGCACCGGCUAACUCCGUGCCAGCAGCCGCGGUAAUACGGGGGGUGCAAGCGUUGUUCGGAAUUAUUGGGCGUAAAGCGCGUGUAGGCGGUCUGAUUAGUCUGAUGUGAAAGCCCUGGGCUCAACCCAGGAAGUGCAUUGGAUACUGUCAGACUUGAAUACGGGAGAGGGUAGUGGAAUUCCUAGUGUAGGAGUGAAAUCCGUAGAUAUUAGGAGGAACACCGGUGGCGAAGGCGGCUACCUGGACCGAUAUUGACGCUGAGACGCGAAAGCGUGGGUAGCAAACAGGAUUAGAUACCCUGGUAGUCC
rnacentral:rRNA from 1 species